UGUUUUUCUUGAGUAUAUUUGAAGUAGGCGGAAUUCGUAGUGUAGCGGUGAAAUGCAUAGAUAUUACGAAGAACUCCAAUUGCGAAGGCAGCUUACUAAACUAUAACUGACGCUGAAGCACGAAAGCGUGGGUAUCAAACAGGAUUAGAUACCCUGGUAGUCCACGCCGUAAACGAUGAUUACUAGCUGUUUGUGAUAUUACAAUAAGCGGCUAAGCGAAAGCGAUAAGUAAU
rnacentral:rRNA from 1 species